UGGGGAAUAUUGGACAAUGGGCGAAAGCCUGAUCCAGCCAUGCCGCGUGAGUGAUGAAGGCCUUAGGGUUGUAAAGCUCUUUCACCCACGACGAUAAUGACGGUAGUGGGAGAAGAAGCCCCGGCUAACUUCGUGCCAGCAGCCGCGGUAAUACGAAGGGGGCUAGCGUUGUUCGGAAUUACUGGGCGUAAAGCGCGUGUAGGCGGGUCUUUAAGUCAGGGGUGAAAUGCCAAGGCUCAACCUUGGAACUGCCUUUGAUACUGGAGAUCUUGAGUCCGGGAGAGGUGAGUGGAACUGCGAGUGUAGAGGUGAAAUUCGUAGAUAUUCGCAAGAACACCAGUGGCGAAGGCGGCUCACUGGCCCGGAACUGACGCUGAGACGCGAAAGCGUGGGGAGCAAACA
rnacentral:rRNA from 1 species